rnacentral:rRNA from 1 species
GACGAACGCUGGCGGCGUGCUUAACACAUGCAAGUCGAACGGAAAGGCCCUGCUUGCCGGGUACUCGAGUGGCGAACGGGUGAGUAACACGUGGGUGAUCUGCCCUGCACUUCGGGAUAAGCCUGGGAAACUGGGUCUAAUACCGGAUAGGAGCCAUUUUUAGUGUGAUGGUUGGAAAGUUUUUUCGGUGUAGGAUGAGCUCGCGGCCUAUCAGCUUGUUGGUGGGGUAAUGGCCUACCAAGGCGGCGACGGGUAGCCGGCCUGAGAGGGUGGACGGCCACAUUGGGACUGAGAUACGGCCCAGACUCCUACGGGAGGCAGCAGUGGGGAAUAUUGCACAAUGGGCGCAAGCCUGAUGCAGCGACGCCGCGUGGGGGAUGACGGCCUUCGGGUUGUAAACGCCGUUCGCUAGGGACGAAGCUUUUUGUGACGGUACCUAGAGAAGAAGCACCGGCUAACUACGUG